rnacentral:lncRNA from 1 species
GGUUACACACGUGGGGGCAUUUAGUAUGUCAGACCUUAUUAAUUCUCCUUUGAACAUCUAGUGACAACACCCUAAACCACAAUUGGCUUUUGUUGCCAAUUUUGAUUAAAUCCAGCCUACAGGAAUAUAAUAUGCAGGUCAUACAAAUCUACCUCCAUCCAUGUAGGUCAUCAUUUCCAAGUCACUGCUCCUCCUUCUAAUUCAGAGGAUUAAUUUUGCAUUUUGUCUCUCUUCACAGACAAUGACAAAACUAAACACUGUCUUUGAUGGAGAAGCCAGAGAUCCAGUUACUGGCAAAAUGUAUGAAUUCAAUACAUGGUCGGGGGCCCGGAGGUGGAAGAAGAGCAACGAGCCCCUUCAGUCAGUGCCAGCCAUGCAGGUAAUGUCCAGUGCCACAGAUGAUAAUGACCAAGGGACAGACAGAGCAGAAGCACCAAGCAAAAACGGGCCUUCAGAGAAGAGGAAAGAGCUGACUGCAGAGACAAAACCAGCUGCCAAGCGCUUGGCCAGGGACAAGGUGGGCUGAGAUAAUGAAAGCAGAAAGAGGAGUCUGAGGACAGGGGGUUAUCUUCAACAGCCCCUCAAGGCAGAUACUAACCUCCUCUCCCAAAAUGAACACUGACUUGCCAUUAAGCCAGGCUUAAAGCAGAGUGCAUGAAACUCCAAGGCUCCCCCCAAAUGACCCACACUCUGGACAGCCAAAGAAUCAGAUGUGAUUUUCUCUCUAUGUAUCUCAGCUGCAAAACAUAAGGUGGCCAUUCCUGCGUAAACUGGUCCCAAAGGCAGGAUGAAGCUUGACUUACCUUCAGUAGGUGCUGGCAAGAGUGGGAGAGAAGGGGAGGACAUGAAAGAGGGAGAAGAGGAAAUGAAAGCAGAGUCAUGGACAGAAGCAUCUGCUGGCCACUGCCCUCUGGGCUACAGCCACUGGCAGUUUCCUCCUAGAAGAGCUCUGCGCCCCCCGACUGACACAGCCACAUCCUCUGAGUGCCUUUGGGGAGGGCAGUGUACACGCAGACAUGCUUUCUUACUGGUGAAUGGGGUCUCCUGUUCCUGCCGAGCAGCAGAAUAGGUGAAAAGCACAUCAGGGUUGAAACGUUUGCUGGUAAAAGCUAAAAAUACUUCAUUUUCAUUCAGUGUUUUAUUUCAGCCCUUCCCACCCUCCCAUCCUGCUGUAUGAAAGACCAAGGCUUGAAAGCAGUUUUGGAGUGGAGAAAACCCACAGCUUGUUAUGGUAUCUCAGGCUGUCAUGUCAACACUUUCAGUUUAUUUAUCUUUUGUAACACUAGCAACAUUCAAUAUCUUCACCUUUGGUAUUUCCUCUGGCAUAUUUCAUGUUUUACAGAAUCAAGUGGAAUACACUUAAGAGAAUAAUGACAUGGGGUGAAAUAAUCUUUUCCAAGUGUGGGCAUGUAUAAUGUAAGUGCUGUCUAAGAACCUGAUAUAAAACAAGCUAAUCCUACAAGUUUCAGAAAAUUAUUUUAAUCUGGAGAAAAUGAAUUAUAAAUGAUGACAAUACUCCACGUCUU